GGGCUCGUAGCUCACUCGGUAGAGCGCCGCCCUUGCAAGGCGGAGGCAGUGGGUUCGAUACCCACCGAGUCCA
rnacentral:tRNA from 1 species